CCAUGCUAUUGGUUUGAUAAAUCUGAUAAACUCAUCUGAUUGAUUUAUAGUAAGAAUAUUCCAGGAAAAAAAACGUUUUCAAAAUACCUGGAAGGAAUACAUUUUUAUAUGCAUGUGUUGUUAUAUACAUAUACACAUGUAUACAGAUGUAAUUUGUUUUGUUUUCGUUUUUUCUGCACAAUAUUUCAGUUCAUAUGUGAAGACUUUCAGGUGAUUGUAUUAAAGCUGUCUGCCUAGGAUUGACAAAGAUCUCAAAGAGAACUGAUAUGACACAAUAAAAGUUUUAGGUUCUAGAUGUAGAAAUUACCCCCUUGCAAUAUUACAAAAUUUAUUGUAACUAUUGAUUUCCUGGUUACACUCUAAUUGAGCAAGAUUAAUUGAGCUAAUUAACUUGCCACAUAGUAAUUUAAUGUCCUAAUCAUAGUGGAACUGAUCAAGAUGAAUUUUUAACUCUGAAAUAUCUACUUGGGCAGUAAGUACACUCUUCAUAAAGAACUGUCCAAAAGGGUCCAUACUUUUGUAAGUGAUCACUGAUGUUUAAAAGAUGUAUAUUAACCUAGAAAUAGAGAUUGACUUUCUCGUUUAUAAAACUUUAGACUUGUGCAUGGCAAAAUAAUUAGUUUUAUCAGAACCAUUUAGCAUGAAAAAAAAAAAUUGGGAUGGCUAAAUUUCAGCCAUAUUGUGGUUCAGCUCAGUCAAAUUGAAUAGCUUGAUAAAGGGAGCAGUGGGUGGGCUGAUCUAGCCAAGUCAAAAUACUUUUUAGCUAAAGACAUAUUUACUUAAAGGACCACUCUAGGCACCCAGA